rnacentral:misc_RNA from 1 species
CCAAUAGCGUAUAUUAAAGUUGUUGCAGUUAAAAAGCUCGUAGUUGAAUUUCGGGAUUGACGUGAUGGUCAUGCCUUAAGGGGUAUGAACUGUUACUGUUGAUUUCUCACCUUCUGGAGAAACUUGAUGUCCGUUAUUGGGUGUCUUGCGGAUCCAGGACCUUUACCUUGAAAAAAUUAGAGUGUUUAAAGCAGGCAUUUUUGCUCGAAUACAUUAGCAUGGAAUAAUAGAAUAGGACGGCAUGGUUCUAUUUUGUUGGUUUCUAGGAACACCGUAAUGAUUAAUAUGGAUAGUUGGGGGCAUUAGUAUUCAAUUGUCAGAGGUGAAAUUCUUGGAUUUAUUGAAGACUAACUACUGCGAAAGCAUUUGCCAAGGAUGUUUUCAUUAAUCAAGAACGAAAGUUAGGGGAUCGAAGACGAUCAGAUACCGUCGUAGUCUUAACCAUAAACUAUGCCGACUAGGAAUCAGACGAUGUUAAUUUUUUAAUGACUCGUUUGGCACCUUACG